rnacentral:rRNA from 1 species
AUUGAACGCUGGCGGCAGGCCUAACACAUGCAAGUCGAGCGGAUGAAGGGAGCUUGCUCCUGGAUUCAGCGGCGGACGGGUGAGUAAUGCCUAGGAAUCUGCCUGGUAGUGGGGGAUAACGUCCGGAAACGGGCGCUAAUACCGCAUACGUCCUGAGGGAGAAAGAGGGGGAUCUUCGGACCUCACGCUAUCAGAUGAGCCUAGGUCGGAUUAGCUAGUUGGUGGGGUAAAGGCCUACAAAGGCGACGAUCCGUAACUGGUCUGAGAGGAUGAUCAGUCAGACGGGAAGAGAGGAACGGUACAGACUCCUGCGGUGGGAAGCAGUGGGGAAUAUUGGACGAGGGGCGAAAGCCUGAUCCAGCCAUGUCGCGUGUGUGAAGAAGGUCUUCGGAUGGGAAAGCACUGUAAGUUGGGAGGAAGGGCAGUAAGUUAAGAUCGGGCUGUUUUGACGGUACCAACAGAAGAAGCACCGGCUAACUUCGUG